GAGAAAGUGCAUGGGCCUGCCAGUGCCUGCAGCUGAACACCUCCUCUAGAGUAAGAAGUUCUUACUCUAGAGGAGGCACUCAGCUGCAGGCACUGGCAGGCCCACACA
rnacentral:pre_miRNA from 1 species